rnacentral:rRNA from 1 species
AGAGUUUGAUCCUGGCUCAGGACGAACGCUGGCGGCGUGGAUUAGGCAUGCAAGUCGAACGGUAUAAACCUUUCGGGGUUUAGAGAGUGGCGAACGGGUGAGUAACACGUAGGUAAUCUACCCUCAAAACGGGGACAACCCAGGGAAACUUGGGCUAAUACCGGAUGCGUGCAAGCAAUGUUUUGGCUGUUAAUGCUAUUCACGGAAGUGAGUAGUGUUAAUGGUUGAGAGCAUUAUUUGCAUAAAAGGUGGCAUAUGCUGCCGUUUGAGGAUGAGCCUGCGUCCUAUUAGUUAGUUGGUGAGGUAAUGGCUUACCAAGGCGAUGAUAGGUAGGCGGCCUUAACGGGUGGUCGCCCACACUGGGAUUGAGAUACGGCCCAGACUCCUACGGGAGGCAGCAGUCGAGAAUAGUCUACAAUGGACGGAAGUCUGAUAGUGCGACGCCGCGUGAACGAAGAAUCCCUUCGGGGUGUAAAGUUCUUUUAUACGUGAGCAGUGCCCUUUAUAUGAAUAGUAUAGAGGGAGGGAUUUAAGCGUAUGAAUAAGCAACGGCUAACUCCGUGCCAGCAGCCGCGGUAACACGGGGGUUGCAAGCGUUGUCCGGAAUUACUAGGCGUAAAGUGCAGGUAGGCGGAUAGAUAAGUUUAAGGUUAAAGGCUACGGCUUACCCGUAGUAAGGCGUUAGAUACUGUUUAUCUGGAAUGCGGUUGAGGGAGACAGAAUUCCUGGUGUAGCGGUGGAAUGCGCAGAGAUCAGGAGGAAUACCGAAGGCGAAGGCAGUCUUCUAAGCCGAUAUUGACGCUAAACUGCGAAGGUGUGGGGAUCAAACAGGAUUAGAUACCCUGGUAGUCCACACAGUAAACGAUAAUCACUAGGUGUUGGGUUCGUAUAGGACUCGGUGCCGGAGCUAACGCGAUAAGUGAUUCGCCUGGGGAGUACGAUCGCAAGGUUGAAACUCAAAGGAAUUGACGGGGGCCCGCACAA